rnacentral:rRNA from 1 species
CUAUACNUGCAGUAGAACGCUGAAGAGAGGAGCUUGCUCUUCUUGGAUGAGUUGCGAACGGGUGAGUAACGCGUAGGUAACCUGCCUUGUAGCGGGGGAUAACUAUUGGAAACGAUAGCUAAUACCGCAUAACAAUGGAUGACACAUGUCAUUUAUUUGAAAGGGGCAAUUGCUCCACUACAAGAUGGACCUGCGUUGUAUUAGCUAGUAGGUGAGGUAACGGCUCACCUAGGCGACGAUACAUAGCCGACCUGAGAGGGUGAUCGGCCACACUGGGACUGAGACACGGCCCAGACUCCUACGGGAGGCAGCAGUAGGGAAUCUUCGGCAAUGGGGGCAACCCUGACCGAGCAACGCCGCGUGAGUGAAGAAGGUUUUCGGAUCGUAAAGCUCUGUUGUAAGUCAAGAACGAGUGUGAGAGUGGAAAGUUCACACUGUGACGGUAGCUUACCAGAAAGGGACGGCUAACUACGUGCCAGCAGCCGCGGUAAUACGUAGGUCCCGAGCGUUGUCCGGAUUUAUUGGGCGUAAAGCGAGCGCAGGCGGUUUGAUAAGUCUGAAGUUAAAGGCUGUGGCUCAACCAUAGUUCGCUUUGGAAACUGUCAAACUUGAGUGCAGAAGGGGAGAGUGGAAUUCCAUGUGUAGCGGUGAAAUGCGUAGAUAUAUGGAGGAACACCGGUGGCGAAAGCGGCUCUCUGGUCUGUAACUGACGCUGAGGCUCGAAAGCGUGGGGAGCGAACAGGAUUAGAUACCCUGGUAGUCCACGCCGUAAACGAUGAGUGCUAGGUGUUGGAUCCUUUCCGGGAUUCAGUGCCGCAGCUAACGCAUUAAGCACUCCGCCUGGGGAGUACGACCGCAAGGUUGAAACUCAAAGGAAUUGACGGGGGCCCGCACAAGCGGUGGAGCAUGUGGUUUAAUUCGAAGCAACGCGAAGAACCUUACCAGGUCUUGACAUCCCGAUGCUAUUUCUAGAGAUAGAAAGUUACUUCNGGUACAUCGGUGACAGNNGGNGCAUGNNNUCGUCAGCUCGUGUCGUGAGAUGNUGGGUUAAGUCCNGCAACGAGCGCNACCCCUNUUGNNANUNGCCAUCNUUCAGUUGG